AGCGAACGCUGGCGGCAGGCCUAACACAUGCAAGUCGAACGAAGUCUUCGGACUUAGUGGCGGACGGGUGAGUAACACGUGGGAACGUGCCUUUAGGUUCGGAAUAACUCAGGGAAACUUGUGCUAAUACCGAAUGUGCCCUUCGGGGGAAAGAUUUAUCGCCUUCAGAGCGGCCCGCGUCUGAUUAGCUAGUUGGUGAGGUAAAGGCUCACCAAGGCGACGAUCAGUAGCUGGUCUGAGAGGAUGAUCAGCCACAUUGGGACUGAGGCACGGCCCAAACUCCUACGGGAGGCAGCAGUGGGGAAUCUUGCGCAAUGGGCGAAAGCCUGACGCAGCCAUGCCGCGUGAAUGAUGAAGGUCUUAGGAUUGUAAAAUUCUUUCACCGGGGACGAUAAUGACGGUACCCGGAGAAGAAGCCCCGGCUAACUUCGUGCCAGCCGCCGCAGUAA
rnacentral:rRNA from 1 species